AUGGGUACAGAGAGAUAUGAGGCGAGAAGGGCCACAUUUCCAACAACCCAGAUGGAGGCAAAAAGGGAGGGGAUGAGGCUGGUGGCAAGAGGACCAGAAAAAUGGCCCAGACACACAGGCAUCUCGCAGGGAGCUGAGACUUGGAUGAGCCAUAUGGAUGAGAAAGAAAAGGAGUGUGCUUAUCCAAGCUUGUGUCUGUCAAAUGAAGGUCAUCACGAUGAUGUGAAUUUGCCAGAUAAAGAACCUGAAGCCCAGAAAGACAAUGACGUGCAGAAGGCCAGCCUCCAAAUACUGGCAAAGGACCUUGAGAUCUUUCAGAAUACUCGGUGCCUUGGUGCCCUAGGAGCUCACAGUCUGGAGUUGUUAAUUGAUUCUCUGAAAGUCUGCUACUCACAAGACAGUCUGUACUUUCAAGGAGUUCAGGCCAUGUGGGAGAAGUCCACAGGCAAGGUCACCCGAGUGGCAGGUGCUACCACACGGGUAAGCCCUGGAUGGGAAGGAGAAUGUGGGAAAGACACCUAUUCCAACCUUGAGAGAUCACGAUUGGCAUCCUCGAGUUAGAGCUAAGCCAAAGGAUGAGUAGGGGGCAAUCAAACAAAAUGAAGGGGGAAGAGCGUCCAGGAAAUGUUGGCAAGGUGUCAUUUGCCAGAAGUUUAGAGAAGGCAACCUACUAAAGAUAACCGGAGCAUGAGGGGAAAAACCUAGAAAGACAAGACUUGAAAGCUAAGUCAGCGAGUUAAGGCCUUAUAAACUGCUUAAAGAGUUUGAACUCAAUGCUUGUAAAAGGCUGCCGUUGCUUGUUACGCAGUGAAUUGUUGGGCAUACCUGUGACUGGGAGACCAAGACCUAUAUCACCCAAAGGCAGAAAGGGUUUUUUCUGUAAAAUAUACUUUUGGUUUUCUAUCAAGCCCAAAGUUCCAUGCAUAUCAGAGAGAAUGGGGGGGGGGGGGGGAAAGAGGAUGAAGAAAAUCAAAGUGUAAAAUAAUGUAUCUUGAAUUAAGUAAAAUAUUUCAAUAAUCUUUCUUGAUUCCCUGUGAACAAGAUGGAGAAAUACACACUGAAAAAUAGUCCUACUCUGUGAAUGAAUGGCAAGCAGACCAUUUAAUUCAAAGAGUUGAUUAAAAGGCAGGGGUCUCACUCAAAAGUAGUCUCCAGAAGCAUGUUGCAAACUCUCCCUAACAGACCUGUUCCAUGGCUUUGAGGAAGAAGCAGAAGGCUUAUUUAUCAAAAGUGAAGAUGUGCCCCAAAAAAGAGGAAAACACAGCACUUCAGAAAAAAAAAAAACACUAAAAAAUAUCAAUAAGGUCAUACAAAUAAAAUUAAAUAUAGCUGAGACAAAUGUAAAAUCUUACAUUUAGGCUCAAAGAAUUUACUGCAAUAAUGGGAAAGAACUCAGUAGUGUCGGGGGAAAAAAAGUAUUUUUGUUAACUGGGUGACAUGAUUGCUGAAUAAGAAAAACUGACUAAUGCAGUUCUUUAUUGGAAGAAGGAAAGAACUGAACAAAUAAAUACAAUCUGGCUCAUGUUUCCAGCCUGGUGAGGUCUGGGGAGUGGGAGUGCUCCCUGUAAGAGUCAUGAAUGGUAUUUCUUUGAGUCACCCCUGCCCACUCCCACAAGGAUGCCUCACAUGUCCUUCCAAAUACAGUGCUCCUGGAAACCGCCUCCUUGUCCCCAAUAACGGUGGUAGGACUGCUGAAGACACGAUGCAGGAGGCUGCUGCGGCGUCUCCUGCAUCAUUACAUCUUCCCCUAUUAAUAUGAUUGACAAAGCAGCGUUGGCUAUUGCACUCAGCGACCUAGAAAACCUAUAGAUCCAACUCCUUCUAACUCCUAACACCUUCCCAUGAUGCCCUUUCCUAAGAGUCCAUUAUCCUACCAAAUUCAUCAACAUUUUCUUACACUGGGGUGGGUCUCUUUGUAUGAUCUCUUGAUCCCGUGUAUCUGCCAGCCCAGCACUCUAGGCAUGCUGGACUGGUUUGAAAGCUCCGUCUUGUCCUGGGGGCUCACCCUGCACACACGGCAUCUCUGUGGGAAGUCUCUGCCCAGAUCCAAAGAGAUCAUAACCCAGCCGUAGUUUGUGAUGAUCGACUCUUAUUCUCUGGAUGAAUUGGCGAAGGUUCUAGAGACUAUUAGGAGAAAUGGCUAAAGGACAAGGACUAUUUGUCUUGAAGAAGAAUUGGUGCAGAUAUGAUACUUGUCUCCAAACAUCUGAAUGGUCAUCACACAGGAAAAAAGCAACAAGCGUAUCUGUGGCGCUCCAAUACCAGUGACUACAUCUGAAGUGCAUAAGAUGCGAUGAAACCUGUUUUGGUUCCUGGUGAGGGAGAGUUUCCUCAGAAUUUAAGCUAUCCAUAAUGAAAGGCACUGCCUAGAAAAUUAAUGCUUUCCCAGGCACUGGAGUUGUUCCCAGCAUAUUUUUGUAGGCCACGGGACAAGAGUGUUGCAGAAAAUACUCCUGCUUUGGUGGGAAGUUGGAUGAGAUGUUGGAUUCUUCUCAAUUCUGUGAGCUGCUGGAUCUUGGCCAGGGUGCUCUCUGGGUCCCUUGUAAGUACAUGGAUCCUCAAAUGUCAAGGACAAAGAAGAAAAUACAGGGGAUUAGCAUUGCUAUUAGACUGGUGAAGAAGUUCGUUCAUACCAUUUAUAGAAAACCGGAAUAAACAUUUGGGUCAAUCCGAUAUCUAGGCUUAGAGAAGGGAAUGGCAGCCCACUCCAGUAUCCUUGCCUGGGAAAUCCCAUGGACAGAGGUGCCUGGUGGGCUACAGUCUGGGGGUCGCAAAAGAGUCGGACACAACUGAGUGACUUAAUACACAACACAAUAUCUAGGCUGUCUUCUAAUUUCACUGCAUAAAAUAAAAGAUAGGCCAGCAAUUAUGUGAUUUCCCAAGAUAAACUAUUCUAAUUUACCUCUCUUAUCAGAAAGAUUUCCAUUCUCUUCCUCCUGAGUCUCUAGCCUCUCUUUAGCCUAUUCCUCCUGGCUUGAUUCUCAGCAAAUAUGAAAAACAAUCAAUCAUGUCCCUCAUUAUACGUACGAAGUCAUGUAACUAAAAAUGUAUUGCUUAAGGCUUCUCUUCUCCAAGUUGAGAUAUUCUAACUCAUUUUUGGCUCUUCUAAAUUGUUCUUCCUAAUGAUCGUUUCCCCAGAUUUCUCUAUAAGUUCUCUAACACUGAGUACAAACCUUAUAAAAUAAUGACUCCCUGUUUUCUAGAACAGUGUUUUGCCAAAUGUGUUCUAUGAAACAUUAGUUAAUAGGUUGCUUUGGAAGGGCCCUAUUAGCAAAUGAAUUUGAAAACAUGCCAUACUAAGUAAAGUGAAUUAGACUCCUCAGAGUUCUCGAUAUGCAUCAAGAACCAUCUAGACCAGGAUAUAGUAUGCAGCAUUUCUCCCAAGUUUAUAACUCAGAGAUUUCCUCCAGAGCGUUUUAAAGGCCUCUUGUUCCACAGAACACAGUGUGGAAGAGCUGUCUUUAGACAAAAAAAUGAUGCCUAAAGCACUUGUUGGGGAACCCAUGACGGAGACCACCUGCCUUGGCCAGGCAUAGUGAUGCCUGCUUGCAUGGACCUGCACAGGAGGUCCUGAUAAAGAAUGCAGUGCUGCCUCGAAGUCUAGCCAGGAGAAAUAAGGAGGGGCCAAAAGGAUGAGGGAGAAGAUGAUAUGUCCCUCCAACCUCCCAGAAGCCCUCACGUUGGAAUCCAUCUUGGCUGAGAGAUGUGUGCGCCACCGGGAAGGACCCUGAAUCAGGCCAAAUAUGGGCCAAGCACGAUGAUUGGCCAGAGACAACCCAGAAACUAACCUCAUCACCAUAAAACCGGAGACUGCCAGCCACCUGGUGAAGGGCAGCUACUGCUCUUUACCCUACUGCUCUCUUCCCAAUAAAAUCUCUUGCCUUGUCAGCACAUGUCUCCUCCAUGGGCAAUUCAUUUCCAAAUGUUAGACAGGAGCACACUCUUUGGCCCUUGGAAGGGGUGCCCCUUCCUGCAAUACGCCUAUCCCACAGAACUCUCCUCUCCUAGCCCUGAGACCAAGUGUCCCUCUUCCUGCCCGACAGGAAGCCUCCUCCCUGCCAGGCUGCUCCCACUGGCCCACCUUCCCCCUAUACUCCUGUUAGUGCUCCCCUCACCUGCAAGCCAGAUCCUCGCCACACUUCUGUCCCAGCUUGAACUGAAGUGGUAUCAUGGAGCGGAGUGAUUAGAAGAGAUGGAAAUGAUCAGUGUUAACUAAAAAAAAAAUGCACGGCCUAAAAGUUGAGAAUUGUGUUUGAUUUGGGAGGCUUUUUGAGGACUCUAGCCCCUGCGAGGCAGCAUUUCAUAUGCUGUUGGAUUGCUCCCAACAGGUAAGGGAAGACCUAAGAUAUAGAGGAAAAUAGGAGUUUUUGCAGCAAAGAUCUAGUAGUCAGAAUAUCAAAAGAUUACUGUUAAUAAAAGAAAAUCAGAUAUCUCAAGUCAAUGAAUUUAGUCCUGUCCCAUGACUGGGAAGCCGCAAGAGUCUGGGCUCAUUAAAAUCAUUCCAUUGAUAUGCACCUUGGCUAUCCAGGGGUACUAUCCCACUCUGCCAUCAUGAGUCCCCUCAGGGUGCACUGUUGGGGGUGGCUGCAGGGUCUAAGGGUUGAAUGGCAGGCACACUGUUGGUUUCCAUCCUGAGUCCCCUCAGGCUCACUGUCCGGGCAGUGGUCGUGGCUAGUGGCUAUGACAUCCUUUGUUUAUGGGAAGGCAACAUUUUUUAUUCACACCAGAAUCUUAACCAAGACAACCCCUUCAAGAGGUAGAUGAGAAAACUAAGCAUAGAAAGGUUGGUUCGCCAGAGUCACACAGCACACAGUCACAGUCAGUCACUGACGCUAGGACUGACGUUUUCAGUUAGCUGAGUGUUCCUUCUGCUGGACCAGUGGGUUGAUCUGCAAGCCAGGAACAUGCUGAGAAAAUACAUUUCAGGGCCUGACUCCAGUCCUCUUGAAUCAGACCCUCUUGAAAACCUAUCUUAAUUAAUUAUCAAAACA
ensembl:lincRNA